UUGAGUCACAAUGUGUUGGAUGGUGAAGCGUAGAAUUAAAUAUAAUUUGAAUCUAUAUGACGAAGGCUCUUAAUACUUGAUGCAACAAAAACAACAUUUGUAAUCAAAUUCUGGUAGUGGAAAUGAAAAUGUAAACCUAUGUGUGAAUGAAUUUCACGAGAACCAAUAUACGCAAUUUAAAGAACAAUUAUGUUUGAAUUACUGCCAAAGGCGAAGAAACAAACAAACAAUGUUGUCUGGUUCGUUCAGUGUUUUGCUUUUUGGAGGCAAAUGUCUAAUUUAGGCAGCGGAGACAAUAUGGUAUGUAAAUAUGUUAAUUUAUUUCAUUUACAAUUCAAUGAAGGCGGGUGCCUGAGAUAAUCACGCCGUUAAAAGUUAGUAUCGACUCUGUUACAUCAUAAUCUGACCAUCUGGAUCCCAGUAGGUAUAGACAGGACUACCAGUAGGUAUAGACUAGACCAGUCAGUGCAGACAGGACUACCAGUAGGUAUAGACAGGACUACCAGUAGUUAUAGACUAGACCAGUCAGUGCAGACAGGACUACCAGUAGGUAUAGACAGGACUACCAGUAGUUAUAGACUAGACCAGUCAGUGCAGACAGGACUACCAGUAGGUAUAGACAGGACUACCAGUAGUUAUAGACUAGACCAGUCAGUGCAGACAGGACUACCAGUAGGUAUAGACAGGACUACCAGUAGGUAUAGACAGGACUACCAGUAGGUAUAGACAGGACUACCAGUAGGUAUAGACAGGACUACCAGUAGGUAUAGACAGGACUACCAGUAGGUAUAGACAGGACUACCAGUAGGUAUAGACAGGACUACCAGUAGGUAUAGACAGGACUACCAGUAGGUAUAGACAGGACUACCAGUAGGUAUAGACAGGACUACCAGUAGGUAUAGACAGGACUACCAGUAGGUAUAGACAGGACUACCAGUAGGUAUAGACAGGACUACCAUUAGGUAUAGACAGGACUACCAGUAGGUAUAGACUAGACCAGUCAGUGCAGACAGGACUACCAGUAGGUAUAGACAGGACUACCAGUAGUUAUAGACUAGACCAGUCAGUAUGGGAUGUAGACUUGGUGUUUCUUCCUCCAUCACCUCUUGCCUCAUCCUGAAACCGCCAUCUGACACAAAUUGCCAGAUUUCCAUGUGACGGCUGACCUGUCAAUCAGACUGAUGGGUAACUAACGAGGA